AACACAAUAAGUAAAAGCUGAGUCAACCAAAGCGCAAAUUUUGCAUUGUUUGAUUAAAGAAGUGCUAGAAGUACUGUACACUAGUUCUAAUGAUAGCUCCUGUCGAAGUUUUAUAUUUCCUGAAUCCCCAAUGUGCAAAAAAUUUAAAUCUACUAAUUGUUCAGUUAAAACACGGGGAAAACAUGGUGUCAACCACGUGCCAACGCACGCGUGUUAGCCGGCAUGUCAACGGCGUCUGACACGCCGGCUGAGAAAAAGAAGAGGAAAGAAAAAAAGAAGGAUACGCCAAGAAACCAAACUAAGUGUUGUUGCCUAUAGCUUGAAAUUUAGCAUAGCAGAUAGAUUAUAAAGCUCCUUUUGAAAUGUUUAUGCCUAUUUGUUGCAAUGCCUUGAACUUAUAGAUAAGGUAUGAUUCUCUGUAUUUUCUUUCUCGUUCAGAACGGAAAUUUGUGAGAUGUAGAGUUGUCAUUUUCAGUUGUCAUUUCAUGCAGUUCUUGGCGUUGCUCACGAAAAAAAUUUUGAUGUCAGUCACUUUGUGCUGCUAUAAUUAGACGCCAUGUCACAGUGUCAACCUCAAAUUAAUAAAGCAAAUUAGCUUACAGUUUCUAUACAUACUGUCUUCGCAGGAGUUUGAUCUCUGUAUGAAAGCUGCAAAAUGUACUCAAACAAAGCAUAGUUUAAAAAUGUACAAGAAGCAACAUCAUUCUUGUCACUUUUUUAUAUCUUCUUUUUCUUCAAUUCCAUUACGCUUCGCUCCAAAAUUUUGCCCUGAGAAAAACAAAUGCUUGAUCCUCAUAAGGAAAAGAGAAAAGAAGUCACUGAACCUCUUCUUCAUAACUACUGAGUUCCUCAACAUGUCUACGAUUCAACUUUGUAACGCUAGUUCUGUGCAUUACACACCCUGAAAUGCAGACUGAACAUACAAGUGUCCAGGGUACUUAAUCUUCUUUCUUCUUCUAAAUUACCCCAUAAGAUAUUCUGCACAGCCAACGUGGGCUUACAAUAAACUGAUUCCCCUUGACACACUGCAUACAUGUAACAUUUGCUUUAUUUUAUUAUCCUGAUCAGCUUUCAAGUCAUAGAAGGAAAAGGUGGAGAAAGACACACGCAGUCACUUCAUUGCAAGGACAGGUACAGAGACUUGCGGCCACCUGAAAAAGAAGCAUUUCUACUUCGUCUGUCACCGGUCUGGAAGUUAUGCUUCACAAGCUACAAGUAAACAAAAGCUGAAGCGGCCUUCAAGUGUCAAGUGUGGAAAAAGAUGUUUUGCGGCAAUGGCUGUGACUGAAGACAACACAGGGCACUAAACUUCAGUAAAAAAAAAUUUUAUGAGCCGCACAUUCUAGCAGACAAAAUAAACUGCAAGUACAUUGCUGGAGAAAAAGAAUGUCUCAUGUUGGUCUUGCAUAUAUAAGUUACACUGUUCUACAAUACACUUGGACGAAAAUGAAAAGAAAAUGGUGGCACCUAUGGUUUGGAAAAUAUGGUACCUAAAUAUUUUGAAUGCUCAUGAAUCAGCUAUGUGAAUGAAACAUGAUUGAAACAAUCACGAUAAUUAGGCUUAUACCCCUGUCGCACGGCAAAAACUAAUGUCAUUUGAAAAUGAUGACAAUGACGAUAGUAAAAAAAAAAAGACACGCCUCAAACCCACUUUUGUCCAAUAAUUAUUUUCCAGUAUGCUAAAUUCCACUAGAAUAUGUGAUCAUUGCUUUCAAACCGUAGUGUUCGAUUACUAACUUGUCGACAUUGCCAACGAAAUCGAGUCGAGCUAAGGCAAGCAACAGGGCGAAGAGAACGAUAGGCGCGUCCGCUACAUCUGCUAAAGUGGUACGAGAAGGGCAGUUGCAUGUCAUCGCCUUUCUGAUGUGGAUGCGAGCUUCUAAUAUCCUCAUUCUUGUCGCAUGCCACAGGAAAAAACGCGCACGCUUUUAUGCCAAGUCAAUUGAAGUGGCCGCGGACGAUGCUCUGGUGAGAACCAACACGACUACUGCAGCGAAAGCUAAAGAUGGCUGUCUGGUCACUGGACUGAGAGUAGUUUUCUGUAUUUACCUAUGUGAUGGACUUCAAUGUCGUUAAAGCAAUAAUUAGGUAAUAAAAUGGAUAGAAUAAUAGUGAUUUUUUGUUAAAACAAAAAAAAGAAGCACGUACUGUUUGCGAAACACUGGUAAACUCGUGGUGUCAAGGAUACACAUUCAGUUCCAAACGAAUGCGAAUGAGUUUGGCGAACUGAUUUGUUUGUAAAUGUCAUUUUCGAAAAUGUCCUUACGUUUUACCGUGUGACACCAAAGAAAUGGCAUUAUCAGCGAAUGUCAUUCGUUGUAAAUGACAUUAGAUUUGCAGUGUGACAGGGGUAUUAGACAUGAACUCGUAAAACAGCUUCAGUGUCCAGUCAGUACUCUACUUGACUGAAAUAAUACCUUUAACUCAAAAACCCACAUGACUGCAUAGCCUUCAAAGCAUACGUUCACAGGUGUGUCUGCUCUGUAAAUAUGGAUGAAUGACUGAUAAAUCAACCAUUAAAAAUAAUUGCUGAAAGCUUUAAUUGACAAUUUUUAUAUUGACAAUCAAAUUAUGUGCAUCAAUUCAGUCAGUAACAGUGAUGUUUAUAUUUAAGUUAAUCUGGAAAUGCUGCACAUGUUUUCGAUUGCAGACUGUUUUGCCCUUCUAUGGUGGCAUGCCACUAUGGAAGUGGCAAUAACUUAUGCUAUGGAAUGUAAUUGGAAAAUUAAGUUCUAACUGUAGGAUAGAAAUUGAUAACAAUGGCAAUAUUUAGUAAAGGAACUAAAAGUGGAAGACAUUUUUGCCCUGGGUAGGAUCUGAACCACAAUCUGCACAUGUCCAGUCCAGUGCAAUGCUUUUACAAUGGUUCAGUAAUGUCUUUUGUGCGAACAAGGUUACCAACGGUGAAGGAUGAAAUUGGCAGCCUAGCUGUAAACUUGGUACACACAAUAAAUUUCUUCACUUACGUACCUGAUAACACUGGUGCAGAUAAUCCCUAUGACUGUUUAUCAAUGACACCAAACAUUGAAACACUUAAAUAUGUAAUCUUGCCUCUUCAAAUGUAAUGUAAUCGUGUAGUGUAAUUUAGAAAUGUAAUCUUGCCUCUUCAGCAGCUGAAGGCUGCAUAGCACCAUGUCCUUGCUAAGAGCUGACCUAAAAAGAAAAAAAAUUGCGACAGCUUGAACUAUUUAACACACACCAUUGCAAAAGGUUUUUGUAAGUCAAUGUAACUCAUUAUUCAAUUAAAGGAAUUCUAAAUAAUGAUAUUAAAAUGUUCAUCAGUGCCCAUUUCACUUCCUUGCAUGCUCGGUAAUUUUUACUUAUGCUUCAACUAAUAUACACUUUUUCUCUACUCUCUCAAGACAAGCUGCGAGAAGGCGUGUCCAUGGAUGCAGUACUGGAUAAUGUGCGGUCCAACGUGGAUGAGACAUUCCACCGCAUUAACCUGUUAAGCAAGUGGGAUCUUCGCAAAAUAAUGAGGGAUGCCAGAGUCUCGAAGACCGAGCGGCUGCACGAU